ACAGGUACGGAUCAACACUCUUUGAUACCGAGUGUCUCGACUGGCCUCAGCACGACGCAGUCAUGAUUCCUAUGGGAAUGUUCAAUCAUUCUAUUCCGACUUCAUACCGUGAAAGGAUGUUCCAUGUACCCGCAAUCGGGUACCGUCUUGCCGUCUGCUUGUUCCAAGAAACAUUUCACG